rnacentral:rRNA from 1 species
UACAGAGGGUGCAAGCGUUGUUCGGAAUCACUGGGCUUAAAGGGCGCGUAGGCGGGUGCUCAAGUCCGGGGGGAAAUCCUCCAGCUCAACUGGAGAACUGCCUCGGAUACUGGGUGCCUCGAGGGUGGUAGGGGUAUGCGGAACUAUCGGUGGAGCGGUGAAAUGCGUUGAUAUCGGGAGGAACACCAGUGGCGAAGGCGACUACCUGGCCUGUUCUUGACGCUGAGGCGCGAAAGCUAGGGGAGCAAACGGG